rnacentral:rRNA from 1 species
CCUACGGGCGGCAGCAGUCGGGAAUAUUGCGCAAUGGAGGAAACUCUGACGCAGUGACGCCGCGUGCAGGAAGAAGGUUUUCGGAUUGUAAACUGCUUUAGACAGGGACGAAAAAAGACAGUACCUGUAGAAUAAGCUCCGGCUAACUACGUGCCAGCAGCCGCGGUAAUACGUAGGGAGCAAGCGUUAUCCGGAUUUAUUGGGUGUAAAGGGAGCGUAGACGGCAGUGCAAGUCUGGAGUGAAAGGCGGGGGCUCAACCCCCGAACUGCUCUGGAAACUGUACGGCUGGAGUGCAGGAGAGGUAAGUAGAAUUCCUAGUGUAGCGGUGAAAUGCGUAGAUAUUAGGAGGAACACCAGUGGCGAAGGCGGCUUCCUGGACUGUAACUGACGUUGAGGCUCGAAAGCGUGGGGAGCAAACAGGAUUAGAUACCCGAGUAGUC